rfam:Nostoc punctiforme PCC 73102, complete genome.
GCGAGCGUAGCCAAGUGGUUAAGGCAGUGGUUUGUGGUACCACCAUUCGCGGGUUCGAGUCCCGUCGUUCGCC